GCGUGUGUGAAGAAGGCCUGCGGGUUGUAAAGCACUUUUAUCGGGAAAGAAAAACCCAAGGUUAAUACCCUUGGCAUUGACGGUACCCGAAGAAUAAGCACCGGCUAACUCCGUGCCAGCAGCCGCGGUAAUACGGAGGGUGCAAGCGUUAAUCGGAAUUACUGGGCGUAAAGCGAGUGUAGGCGGCUACGUCAGUCGGAUGUGAAAGCCCCGGGCUUAACCUGGGAAUUGCAUUCGAUACUGCGUAGCUAGAGUCUGAUAGAGGGAAGUGGAAUUCCGGGUGUAGCGGUGAAAUGCGU
rnacentral:rRNA from 1 species